AGCGUCGCGCGCCGGUCUCGGCGUGCAGCGCGAUCCUUCUAAAUGUCGAAACUUUACGACUCUCGGCAACGGAUAUCUUGGCUCUCGCAUCGAUGAAGAACGCAGCGAAAUGCGAUACUUGGUGUGAAUUGCAGAAUCCCGUGAACCAUCGAGUCUUUGAACGCAAGUUGCGC
rnacentral:rRNA from 1 species